UACUCUGGUUUUGUUUUUUAACAGUUUCGAAAAUUUAUGACUUGACAGUCCAACUGAAAACUUUUCAAUUUUAAAGUUUUUAUUGGUGUUUCGCAAACAGGAAAAUUGUUGUUACUGAUAUACAACAUACGUUGAGCUGUAUUCAUAUGCAAAUAAUCAACUGGAAAACUGUUGAAAUAUCUUGGAAGGUGAUCAUAUACUGUGUGGCAAGAUUCUAAUGAAAUAAGAAAUAUCUAGAGAUAGUUAAACUUCACAACAGCUAUUGAAACCUCAGCAGACCCUGAGUUGCUGGACAUUCAACAAUGAUGUUAUUACUAGAACUUGGGAAGUACAGAUUUUCUUCUUCAUUUUGUAUCAUCGGAUUUUCAUAAAAAAUCCUAAAACAGUUGUGCGAAAUUUGAAUGAAGAAAAUAAAAGAAUGUGAACUGAC